rnacentral:sRNA from 1 species
CAUUACACAAUUAAAAUAUGAAGGCCCUUCAAACCGGCUGGAUUAUUUUUAUUCACCCUUGUCUUUUGCGCACUUGUUGUUUCCUGGGCGGGUUCGCUCGCCACCAGGACCACAUCAUAAACCUUUUUUGUUAAUGCAAUCAGCGUCAGUAUAACAAAUGUAAAUCAUUUACAACUUUCAACAACGGAUCUCUUGGUUCUGGCAUCGAUGAAGAACGCAGCGAAAUGCGAUACGUAGUGUGAAUUGCAGAAUUCAGUGAAUCAUCGAAUCUUUGAACGCACAUUGCGCCCUUUGGUAUUCCAAAGGGCAUGCCUGUUCGAGCGUCAUUUGUACCCUCAAGCUUUGCUUGGUGUUGGGCGUUGUUUGUCUUUGGUCCGCCCAAAGACUCGCCUUAAAACAAUUGGCAGCCGGCCUACUGGUUUCGCAGCGCAGCACAUUUUUGCGCUUGCAAUCAGCAAAAGAGGUUGGUCAUCCAUCAAGACUACAUUUAUACGUUUGACCUCGGAUCAGGUAGGGAUACCCGCUGAACUUAAGCAUAUCAAUAAGCGGAGGAAAAGAAACCAACAGGGAUUGCCCUAGUAACGGCGAGUGAAGCGGCAACAGCUCAAAUUUGAAAUCUGGCUCUUUCAGAGUCCGAGUUGUAAUUUGCAGAGGGCGCUUUGGCUUUGGCAGCGGUCCAAGUUCCUUGGAACAGGACGUCACA